rnacentral:lncRNA from 1 species
CUUUGUACUCUGGGGUGUGAGCGGUGAGGGAGUGGGUAGACCUUGUCAGUGUCCUAAUCCAUAGUCUCAGGACAGGGACAGGCCGAGGCGCGACAGCAAUGCUGGGCAUGGUUUGUUUUGCUCCAGCAGGUGUUGAACGUGUGGCUAUGCCAAAGGCCAACAGCAAACCCACACGAAGCAAACACAAAGCUUCCACUGAUGGGUCUGUGGGCUGCUGAUUCUUGUGGGCUUUACAGUGCGGGCAACGGCAGUGCUGGUCACAUGGACCGAGAGACUGUUUUGAUGCCAGAGACUAAUGCUCCGUCACCACAGGAGUUAAAGGAGCAGCCAAGAGACCAGCGUGGUUGAACCCCGCUCUAAGCUGACUGGCGUUCUCUCCUCCCCUCCCACUCUGAGGCUGCAGUUCACAUGCCGAAGACAAAUGACAUAAAGGGCAGGCAAUUAAUUUUUUCAGCUGGAGACUGAUGGAAUGUGGGUGUCUGGCAUGCACCUCUGUCUCCAGUCUCCUCAGGGAAAUACCUCCCGGAGGGCCCUUCAAAUUCCUCAUCUGCCCUUUAGGACCAAUAUGUAAUUCAGUCCUGAAAAAUCAGUCGGAAUGGGUCUUGUGUCCACUAUACCAAGAGCCCAAGGACUGCACAGACGACAGGCCCACUCGUUUAUUUGUGGUUUUGGUUUGUUUGUUUUUGUUUUCUAACCCAAGGUUUCAUGUAGUUUAGGCUGGCCUCAAACUCACUAUGUGGACAAGGCUGGCCUUGGACUUCUGAUCCUCCUUCUUGUUGGGGUUACAGGUGUGUGUAACUGAGGGGACAGUUCGUCAUGACUUUCCUUGGGGAGAGAGAAAGGUCGUCUUAGAAUAUAUAGGGUCUAGAUUCCAAGUCCCCAGAACCUCUGUUGGGUUGAACCAGGCCAGCCAACCUGGUGAACAAAGGCAAGCAGAGCAUAAAGAAUUUACUGGAUAGGAUGCAGAGAAGCCCUGGGGGCGGGGUGCACACCUUUAAUCCUAGCACUCCGGAGGCAGGGGCUGGUUGAUGUCUGAGUUCUAGGCCUACUCUGAUCGAUAGAGUGAGUUCUAGAACAGCUAGGGCCACACAGAGAAACCCUGUCUUAAGAGGGGAGUGGCUGAGGAAGGGGGGAACCAUGCAGGGAAGUGUAUUAACAUAACAGCCAACAGGACCUGCAACUGGAGAAAAACUACUGCAUCCAUGUUGAUAGAGGUAUGAAGAUGUCAGAGGUAAACAUACAGGCUCAGGCUGAGUAGGGAUAAAACUCAAUAGUAAAACACAUAUCUAGCAACAUGGGUUCAAGGUCCAGAACUGCUGCAGCUGCUGCUGCUGUGGCGGAGGCCGAGGCAGCUGUUGCUGUUGAAGAAGAGGAGGAGGAGGAGGAAGAAGGAAGAGGAAGAUGAUGUAGGUCUGUUGGGAUGGGCUGUAGCUGUGUGUUAAGGCUCGGUGUGUGCAAAGCCUUGCCUUUGAUUCCCAGAAGCGUAUUAACGAGGCAGACAGGCAUGGUGGCGCAUUUCGGCAUUUGGAAAGCAGGAGCCAGAGGAUCAAAAUUUUAAAACAAGCCUGGGCUACACGAGACCCUUAAAAAGAAAACAAAUAAAAUGCAUUCUUCUGUUGGAAACUUAGGAGGGUGACCUC